rnacentral:snRNA from 1 species
AUCCCUUCUAGGUAUUUUGGCUAAGACCAAGUGUAGAAUCUGUUUUCAUCAGUUUAAUAUCUGGUAUAUCCUCUAUCCCAGGAAAAUAUAUUAAGUAGACUUUUGGAGCAGGGAGAUGGUCGAAAAUGAUAUACACAUGCUUAAUGUUGACCAUUUGAU